GAUGAACGCUGGCGGCGUGCCUAAUACAUGCAAGUCGAGCGAAAGGACGCGAAGCUUGCUUCUCUGAUGUUAGCGGCGGACGGGUGAGUAACACGUGUAUCACCUCCCUAUCAUACUGGUAUAACUUCGGGAAUCCGGAUCUAAUACCGGAUAAUCUUCUGCACCGUGUGGUUCAUAGGAGGAAGACGGUCUUGGUGUCUCUUAUCGCUGCUUCCGCGCUGCAUUAGCUAGUAGGUAAGGUAACGGCUUACCAAGGCUAGGAUGCAUAGCCGACGUGAGAGGGGGAUAGGCCACACUGGAAGUGAGACACGGUCAAGACUCCUAAGGGAGGCAGCAGUAGGGAAUGGGAGGCAAUGGGGGAAAGCAUGACGGAGCAACGCGGCGUGAGUGAUGAAGGUCUUCGGAGCGUAAAACUCUGUUAUGAGGGAAGAACAGAUGUGUAAGGAAAUGUGCAGAGAGUGACGGUAACGAAUAAGAAAGCAACGGCUAACUACGUG
rnacentral:rRNA from 1 species